GAUGAACGCUGCCAGCAUGCUUAACACAUGCAAGUCGAUGGGGAAGUGGUGCUUGCACCAUGGCAACCAUGGCGGACGGGUGAGUAACGCGUAAGGGACUUACCUGCAGGACUGGGAUAACAGGGGGAAACUCCUGACAAGACCGGAUAAUGUCAUGGAGCUGCAUGGCUUUAUGAUGAAAGGAGACGCCUGCGGAGAGCCUUGCGUCCUAUUAGCUAGUUGGUGAGGUAAUGGCUCACCAAGGCGAAGAUAGGUAGCCGGCCUGAGAGGGUGGACGGCCACAAGGGGACUGAGAUACGGCCCUUACUCCUACGGGAGGCAGCAGUGGGGAAUAUUGGACAAUGGGGGCAACCCUGAUCCAGCAAUUCUGUGUGCACGAAGAAGGUUUUCGGAUUGUAAAGUGCUUUCAGCAGGGAAGAAGUAAGUGACGGUACCUGCAGAAGAAGCGACGGCUAAAUACGUG
rnacentral:rRNA from 1 species